GGUGCAGUGAUCUCAGUUGGUAGAGCAUGAGACUUUUAAUCUCAGAAUCGUGGGUUUGAGCCCCACAUUGGGUUGUACUA